UGAUAGCUGACGAGUCCCAAACAGGACGAAACGCGCGUCNCAGGA
rnacentral:hammerhead_ribozyme from 1 species